rnacentral:rRNA from 1 species
GGAAUUUUCCGCAAUGGGGGAAACCCUGACGCAGCAACGCCGCGUGUGUGAUGAAGGCCUUCGGGUUGUAAAGCACUGUUGAGAUGGGAAGAGCGCCCCGACGGUACCAUCUGAGGAAACACCGGCUAACUCCGUGCCAGCAGCCGCGGUAAUACGGAGGGUGCAAGCGUUGUUCGGAAUUAUUGGGCGUAAAGCGUGCGUAGGCGGACCGUUAAGUCUGAUGUGAAAUCCCUCGGCUCAACCGAGGACGUGCAUUGGAUACUGGCGGUCUUGAGUCUCGGAGAGGAGAGCGGAAUUCCUAGUGUAGAGGUGAAAUUCGUAGAUAUUAGGAGGAACACCAGUGGCGAAAGCGGCUCUCUGGACGAUGACUGACGCUGAGGCACGAAAGCAUAGGUAGCAAACAGGAUUAGAUACCCCAGUAGUC